GCGCCCGUAGCUCAGCUGGAUAGAGCGCCGGACUACGAAUCCGUAGGUCGCAAGUUCGAAUCUUGCCGGGCGCGCCA
rnacentral:tRNA from 1 species